CUCGUUGGAACAGUGAUUUUUUUUUUUCUCUUUUUUUUUUUUUUUAACUCUACUAACUAAAUAAAUCAACGACCCAGACCUUUGUUGGGUUUCGAAACUUUAAAAUACAAUCAAGAGUUUGGAUUCUCUGUUACCGUACAGUGCACAGUACAUCAUUUAUCAUACGAUGGACGGCUGUAUGCGGAUGCACGCCCAUUGCAUGCGAUUGUCCAUCGCACAAUGGACAGAACGCGCUAUAUACCGCACGAUACAGUGC
rnacentral:lncRNA from 1 species